rnacentral:rRNA from 1 species
UAGCUACAGGCUUAACACAUGCAAGUCGAGGGGCAUCAGGAAGAAAGCUUGCUUUCUUUGCUGGCGACCGGCGCACGGGUGAGUAACACGUAUCCAACCUGCCCUUUACUCGGGGAUAGCCUUUCGAAAGAAAGAUUAAUACCCGAUAGCAUAAUGAUUCCGCAUGGCUUCAUUAUUAAAGGAUUCCGGUAAAGGAUGGGGAUGCGUUCCAUUAGGUUGUUGGUGAGGUAACGGCCCACCAAGCCUUCGAUGGAUAGGGGUUCUGAGAGGAAGGUCCCCCACAUUGGAACUGAGACACGGUCCAAACUCCUACGGGAGGCAGCAGUGAGGAAUAUUGGUCAAUGGGCGCUAGCCUGAACCAGCCAAGUAGCGUGAAGGAUGAAGGCUCUAUGGGUCGUAAACUUCUUUUAUAUAAGAAUAAAGUGCAGUAUGUAUACUGUUUUGUAUGUAUUAUAUGAAUAAGGAUCGGCUAACUCCGUGCCAGCAGCCGCGGUAAUACGGAGGAUCCGAGCGUUAUCCGGAUUUAUUGGGUUUAAAGGGAGCGUAGGUGGACUGGUAAGUCAGUUGUGAAAGUUUGCGGCUCAACCGUAAAAUUGCAGUUGAUACUGUCAGUCUUGAGUACAGUAGAGGUGGGCGGAAUUCGUGGUGUAGCGGUGAAAUGCUUAGAUAUCACGAAGAACUCCGAUUGCGAAGGCAGCUCACUGGACUGCAACUGACACUGAUGCUCGAAAGUGUGGGUAUCAAACAGGAUUAGAUACCCUGGUAGUCCACACAGUAAACGAUGAAUACUCGCUGUUUGCGAUAUACAGUAAGCGGCCAAGCGAAAGCAUUAAGUAUUCCACCUGGGGAGUACGCCGGCAACGGUGAAACUCAAAGGAAUUGACGGGGGCCCGCACAAGCGGAGGAACAUGUGGUUUAAUUCGAUGAUACGCGAGGAACCUUACCCGGGCUUAAAUUGCAGUGGAAUGAUGUGGAAACAUGUCAGUGAGCAAUCACCGCUGUGAAGGUGCUGCAUGGUUGUCGUCAGCUCGUGCCGUGAGGUGUCGGCUUAAGUGCCAUAACGAGCGCAACCCUUAUCUUUAGUUACUAACAGGUUAUGCUGAGGACUCUAGAGAGACUGCCGUCGUAAGAUGUGAGGAAGGUGGGGAUGACGUCAAAUCAGCACGGCCCUUACGUCCGGGGCUACACACGUGUUACAAUGGGGGGUACAGAAGGCAGCUAGCGGGUGACCGUAUGCUAAUCCCAAAAUCCUCUCUCAGUUCGGAUCGAAGUCUGCAACCCGACUUCGUGAAGCUGGAUUCGCUAGUAAUCGCGCAUCAGCCACGGCGCGGUGAAUACGUUCCCGGGCCUUGUACACACCGCCCGUCAAGCCAUGGGAACCGGGGGUACCUGAAGUACGUAACCGCAAGGAUCGUCCUAGGGUAAAACUGGUGACUGG